rnacentral:rRNA from 1 species
CUACCCAGUUAGAUUGUGGGGAAAACUCCACAGUUAAGCGCGCUUGAGCCAAAGGCGUCUUGGGAUGGGUGACCACCUGGGAAGUCCUGGUUACCGGGUGCA